rnacentral:rRNA from 1 species
AAAUGACUCUCGACAACGGAUAUCCCGGCUCUCGCAUCGAUGAAGAACGUAGCGAAAUGCGAUACUUGGUGUGAAUUGCAGAAUCCCGUGAACCAUCGAGUCUUUGAACGCAAGUUGCGCCCGAAGCCAUUAGGCCGAGGGCACGUCUGCCUGGGUGUCACGC